rnacentral:rRNA from 1 species
AACAAUACGCGGAGGAGGUGGCCCGGGUCGGCGUCGGCGCCAUCCGGCGCGGGCCACGGGCCUGCUUCCAAGUGCGUCUGCGCGCCGGCAACCCACGCCGGGUCUUUCAAGUGCUGAUUUCACCGCACCAACUCCCAGGGCCACGGCCACGGCCAGGGCCAGGGAAGCCGCCCUUCUUCGCCCCCUUCACCGGUCACGGCCAACGCGGUGCCGCGGUACUCGGCCUCGCUGUCCUCGUCCGCCGGCACCGUAGCGACCCAGUGA